rnacentral:rRNA from 1 species
AUGAACGCUGGCGGCGUGCUUAACACAUGCAAGUCGAGCGAAGCACUUAUGAUGAUCCUUCGGGUGAAUCAUUUGUGACUGAGCGGCGGACGGGUGAGUAACGCGUGAGUAACCUGCCUCAUACAGGGGAAUAACAGUUAGAAAUGACUGCUAAUGCCGCAUAAGCGCACAGGGCCGCAUGGACCGGUGUGAAAAACUCCGGUGGUAUGAGAUGGACUCGCGUCUGAUUAGCUAGUUGGUGAGGUAACGGCCCACCAAGGCGACGAUCAGUAGCCGGCCUGAGAGGGUGAACGGCCACAUUGGGACUGAGACACGGCCCAAACUCCUACGGGAGGCAGCAGUGGGGAAUAUUGCACAAUGGGGGAAACCCUGAUGCAGCGACGCCGCGUGAGUGAAGAAGUAUUUCGGUAUGUAAAGCUCUAUCAGCAGGGAAGAAAAUGACGGUACCUGACUAAGAAGCCCCGGCUAACUACGUGCCAGCAGCCGCGGUAAUACGUAGGGGGCAAGCGUUAUCCGGAUUUACUGGGUGUAAAGGGAGCGUAGACGGCUUUGCAAGUCUGACGUGAAACUCCGGGGCUCAACUCCGGAACUGCGUUGGAAACUGUAAGGCUUGAGUGCCGGAGAGGUAAGCGGAAUUCCUAGUGUAGCGGUGAAAUGCGUAGAUAUUAGGAGGAACACCAGUGGCGAAGGCGGCUUACUGGACGGCAACUGACGUUGAGGCUCGAAAGCGUGGGGAGCAAACAGGAUUAGAUACCCUGGUAGUCAACGCGGUAAACGAUGAAUACUAGGUGUUGGGGGACAAAGUCCUUCGGUGCCGCCGCAAACGCAUUAAGUAUUCCACCUGGGGAGUACGUUCGCAAGAAUGAAACUCAAAGGAAUUGACGGGGGCCCGCACAAGCGGUGGAGCAUGUGGUUUAAUUCGAAGCAACGCGAAGAACCUUACCAGGUCUUGACAUCGAUCUAAAGGCUCCAGAGAUGGAGAGAUAGCUAUAGAGAAGACAGGUGGUGCAUGGUUGUCGUCAGCUCGUGUCGUGAGAUGUUGGGUUAAGUCCCGCAACGAGCGCAACCCUUAUCUUCAGUAGCCAGCGAGUAAGGUCGGGCACUCUGGAGAGACUGCCAGGGACAACCUGGAGGAAGGUGGGGAUGACGUCAAAUCAUCAUGCCCCUUAUGACUUGGGCUACACACGUGCUACAAUGGCGUAAACAAAGGGAAGCGAACCUGUGAGGGUGGGCAAAUCCCAAAAAUAACGUCUCAGUUCGGAUUGUAGUCUGCAACUCGACUACAUGAAGCUGGAAUCGCUAGUAAUCGCGAAUCAGCAUGUCGCGGUGAAUACGUUCCCGGGUCUUGUACACACCGCCCGUCACACCAUGGGAGUCGGUAACGCCCGAAGUCAGUGACCCAACCGUAAGGAGGGAGCUGCCGAAGGCGGGACUGGUAACUGGGGUG